CCUACGGGAGGCAGCAGUGAGGAAUAUUGGUCAAUGGACGAGAGUCUGAACCAGCCAAGUAGCGUGAAGGAUGACUGCCCUAUGGGUUGUAAACUUCUUUUAUAUGGGAAUAAAAUGUUCCACGUGUGGGUUUUUGUAUGUACCAUAUGAAUAAGGAUAGGCUAACUCCGUGCCAGCAGCCGCGGUAAUACGGAGGAUCCGAGCGUUAUCCGGAUUUAUUGGGUUUAAAGGGAGCGUAGGUGGAUUGUUAAGUCAGUUGUGAAAGUUUGCGGCUCAACCGUAAAAUUGCAGUUGAAACUGGCAGUCUUGAGUACAGUAGAGGUGAGCGGAAUUCGUGGUGUAGCGGUGAAAUGCUUAGAUAUCACGAAGAACUCCGAUUGCGAAGGCAGCUCACUGGACUGCAACUGACACUGAGGCUCGAAAGUGUGGGUAUCAAACAGGAUUAGAUACCCGAGUAGUC
rnacentral:rRNA from 1 species